UCCCUCGGUCGGUGUGUGAGCGAGUCUCCCUCCCUCCCUCUAAUGCAGGAAAUGCGCAAAAGACGUCAGUGUGUGUGUGUGUGUGCGUGUGUGUGUGUAUGUGUGUGUAUGUGUGUGUGUAUGUGUGUGAGUGCGCGCGCGCGCGCGCGCGGGUGCGCGCGGCAGUGUUUAGGGAAAUAGAAAGUUUUGCCGGUUGGGGGAGCAAUACGGGAAAAGUGAGCCAAGGAGAGAACUGCAAAGAGCGGACGAGCCUGCCCGGGUCGCGGCGGCUGAAGCGGGGAGCAGGGCCGAGACUCAGCGCGGGACCCCGGGAGUGGUGGGCUUGGGGACGGGAGCGAGCGCGGCGGAUGUCAGAUGCGAUCUUGGAGGCGAGCGGGCCGCGCAUCUCACGCGGUCUCCAGGGCCAAGCCUGCCUUCUGGAGUUUGGGGCGGGGGAGCCGGGCCGAGGGAAGCGAGGGUCUUGUUUGCCGAUAAGACUCGGGCACCUCCCCCAGCUCCACCCCCCAGCCGGGCAGUGGCCUGCGACAGCAGCCCAAGGAGUAUCGGGGGAAGCGUUCUCCACUGUGGGAUUGUCCUGGUCUCGGAUUGCAAGAACUUGUUGACAAAUGAAAACUCGGUGGAACCCGG